rnacentral:lncRNA from 1 species
AGAAUCUCAGCUCAGCAUGGCUUCCUCCCUUUUCCAGUUGACUCAGAGAACGGUGCUUUCAAAUUGCCUUUUGGGAUACAUGAAGGGGUGCAUUUAGAGCCAACCUGAAGUGUAACACUCUUUAUUGUUCCUGAGAAACGUGUGCCCAAUUCCCUAGAAAUUUACUGUUUCAAAGAGUCACAAGCUCCUGAUUGCUUCUCAUCAGUCUUGAAGAGAUUAGAUAAGCUUCCUCCCUCUUACAAAAGCUUUUUCUUCAUUCAAAAUUCCUUUGAGAACAAAACAUUGAACCAGAAUUGGAUUUUUAACAAAAUAUUAUAAGAUUGUUGAAAACAUUUUUUUUUCUCCUGAGGAGACCAAACAAUUCAAAAGAUAUAUUAAUGCACAUUCUGAUUUAGGGCUACUAGCAACAUAUUGCAAAGAGUAAGGUGGUGCCAAAGAACAAAGUCCCUUCUGCUAAGCAGGAAAGAUAUUUUUUAACUGCCUUACUUUAGAAGAUUUCAAUGGACUGCUAAGGGCUUUCACACAGAUAAUCUCAGAAGUCAAAGCUCAAGAAGUAGGGGGAAGAAACAACUACUGGAGGACCCUAACAGGUAGCAUUGCUUCUAAUUACCGUAAAAUUGUUAUGUAUACUGAUGCCCCACAUCCCAUUCCCAGACUCAGAUAAUUAUUCUACAGUAAGAGUUGGCUUUAGAAUACUUGUUCAAGUGUGUCAGUAAUAGAAAAUGACCUCUUCAGAAAUGGGGGUGUUUACAUGCAGUGCUCCUAAAGUUGGCACACAUGGAAGGUAAUUCAGGGUUAUGUUUGCAGUGGCACCCAUCAUCAGCAAUGUUUCAACCCCCGUCCAUCUCUCUGUCCUGGUUUUACCAAGGGAUUCACUUCAAAUGUAUUCCUCACUGGUCUUUAGAAAACAGUGCUAGCAAUUCAUAAGUAUGUUUGAAUUUUCAAAGUUUUUCUUUUUCUUUUUCUUUUUUUUUUUUUUUUUGAGAUGGAGUCUUGCUUUGUUGCCCAGGCUGGAGUGCAAUGGUGCGAUCUCAGCUCACUGCAACCUCCGCCUCCUGGGUUUAAGUGAUUCUCCUGCCUCAGCCUCCCAAGUAGCUGGGAUUUCAGGAACCUGCCACCAUCCCCAGCUAAUUUUUUUUAUAUUUUUUAGUAGAGACAGAGUUUCACCAUGUUGGUCAGGCUGGUCUCGAAUUCCUAACUUCAAGUGAUCCAUACGCCUCAGCCUCCCAAAGUGACGGGAUUACAGGCAUGAGCCACCGUGCCUGGCCCCAAAGUUUUGCAUUUUGAUAGCAGCAAUAAGGCUGAGUACCUUCAUAGGCCUUUACCUCUGAUCACACUAUAAGGCUUUAAUUAAGUUAGUCUUAAGAAGAAAAAUGUACACCAAACCCCAAUUAUUAAACAUUGGAAUUAUUCCUUCUUAUUGGUCUAAUAAUUACAAUUUUUUACUUCUCAUUCAUUUUUCAAAGGUUUUUUUCAGUAGAUCUAGGUUAUUGGAACGAUUAUAUGUGAUAUGAUGGGGUAUUGGGCACAGACACAGUAAAUCAAGAUGAUGCAGAAAUGAAAGUCUAAUGCUAAAGAUCUUACCAAUCUUCCCAGAUCCCCAUUUUUCAAAGGAGGAAAUGUAUAGAGGACAUUACAUUUAUUUCCAGCCAUUAUGAUAUAAUUAUAAAGCCAACCUCUCAACGCACUCUCUCUUUUUGGGAAGUCUAUGACAGCAGGUAUUACAAUUCUACUUUGCCAGAUGAGGUGCGUAAACCAUAGAAAACUAACUAGCAUCCAAGAGAAGAACAGACUUGGAUGUGGGUAGAAUAAUAGGAAGAACACUUACAGUCAGAUAUAUCAGAGUAUGAAUGCAGGCUCAAGCUUUUUUCCACUAAAAUGUAUACAGCAAUGUAAUCUCACU